GGUUGCGGACAGUGUCUGGUGGGUAGUUUGACUGGGGCGGUCUCCUCCUAAAGAGUAACGGAGGAGCACGAAGGUUGGCUAAUCCUGGUCGGACAUCAGGAGGUUAGUGCAAUGGCAUAAGCCAGCUUGACUGCGAGCGUGACGGCGCGAGCAGGUGCGAAAGCAGGUCAUAGUGAUCCGGUGGUUCUGAAUGGAAGGGCCAUCGCUCAACGGAUAAAAGGUACUCCGGGGAUAACAGGCUGAUACCGCCCAAGAGUUCAUAUCGACGGCGGUGUUUGGCACCUCGAUGUCGGCUCAUCACAUCCUGGGGCUGAAGUAGGUCCCAAGGGUAUGGCUGUUCGCCAUUUAAAGUGGUACGCGAGCUGGGUUUAGAACGUCGUGAGACAGUUCGGUCCCUAUCUGCCGUGGGCGCUGGAGAACUGAGGGGGGCUGCUCCUAGUACGAGAGGACCGGAGUGGACGCAUCACUGGUGUUCGGGUUGUCAUGCCAAUGGCACUGCCCGGUAGCUAAAUGCGGAAGAGAUAAGUGCUGAAAGCAUCUAAGCACGAAACUUGCCCCGAGAUGAGUUCUCCCUGAGACUUAGAGUCUCCUGAAGGAACGUUGAAGACGACGACGUUGAUAGGCCGGGUGUGUAAGCGCAGCGAUGCGUUGAGCUAACCGGUACUAAUGAACCGUGAGGCUUAACCUU
rnacentral:rRNA from 2 species